AGGCCCUUCGUCAUCCAGAGACGGAUCCGCUACCCCAUCCCCCAAAUCCCACCUCCGCCCGCACGCCGCGCCAGAUUCCCGCGCGGCCGCUGCCCGCGCGCCAAUCUUCUACCUCGCCCGUGCAAAUCCUCUGCCUGCGCCCUCCCUCCUCUUCCCUCCCCUUUUUUUCACGGGCUCCGCCGACAAAUCCACUCAUUUGGCUGCGAAUUCGUUCUCCACGCCGACGACCCGUGCAGCAAGAUGAGCCGUCGGUCCAAGAGAGAAGUAGCUCCACCGCCGCCGCCGCCUGCGGCGGGAUCUGCAACUGCUUCUGCGUGUUUUGACGCUACCUCGUCCGCCUCCCUUCAGGCUGCUGGUGGCGCCAUUGCUCUGCCACCAGAGCCCAGCAACCAGGUAAAAUCAAACUUGGUGUGGAUUGCAGUACCUGUUUCAUGAAAAUUGGUGUCAGUUGAUGAUGCUCUCUACGGACCUCCGCCAUAAGCCAAUCCAAUCAGUCAUGUGUUCCCAGAUUGUGGUAUGGAUUUGCGCCCACCUGAAUAUUCAAAUGAUCAGUGGAGAGACAUGGCUAAUAAAUUUUAUGUGGAAAACUAUCCCAACGAAGGUCCAUUCACAGUUUUCCACUGUUGGAAGGUUCUCCGUCAUGAACCCAAGUGGCAUGCAGUCUUGGAGGAGCUUGAAAAGUCGAAGAAACGGGGCUUGGAUGAUGGAGGCGACUCAAGUGGUAACACACUAUCGCAAGAAGAUAUUGGAGAGAAGGAACCUCCAAUGUGGAGGAAUGAAGCUAAGAAACAACGCCAAUGCAAAGGCAAAGGCAAAGCCAAUGAUGAUGAUGAUAGUUUACAUGAAGACAUGAAGAAGUACAUGGAUAUUCAAGCUGCAGCUAGCAAACAACAUGAAGAAUUUUUAGAGACCCAGAAGCAUAUUUCUAAUGCAAAGGUUGAAGCAACAAGGCUAAGAAGAGAGGCUGUUUUAACUGAUUCAUAUCAAAAAAUGAUGAGCAUGGACACUAGUCAAAUGACUGAUGAGAUGAAAGCUGAGCACGUGAUGGGCUUGAAGAUGUUGUGGGACAAACUGCUUGGCAAUACUAUCUGAGGUCAGUCAGCACGCACUUUAAUUGCCAUACAUUGUAAUCUGGUAGUCAACUGAAAUCAUGCUUUGUAUUCGCAGCCAACUUAAAUCUUGCUUUGUAAUCACAACCAACUUAAAUCUUGCUUUGUAAUCACAGCUCUUGCUUACUUUCAUCCUAGCUAGCAGUAGGAGCAUAGUAGCUCCCUUUUGGCCAUGCCAUGCCAUUGUUCCUGGUGGCAGCAGGCAGUAGGUAUAGUAGUUGUAGCAAGUUGCAAUAUGGCAACAGUAGUAGGUAAUGACUACUCAUUGACUUUGCUGUAGUAUGAGUGGAGAGCCAUACCUUGUACUUCUCCUUGACUUUGCUUGUGAAUAUAGACGAGAGCAGCUGCAGCUCAUGGGUAAGCAGCACCCAUUUUCUUGUGUGUUCUCUGCUUCCUCCUCUAUGCCUUCUAUCUGGUCCAGCACUAUUCUUCCUCCUCUAUUCCUUCCAUCCAGUCCAGCAAAUCAAGUCGGAUGAGUCUGACGAUUCCAUAGACCCAGCUGAGAUUUAUACUCCAGAUAUGUUCAUGGCCGAGCAGAGUAUCCUUAACUCUUUUGCUGGGCGGAUCGAUGCGAAGAUUAAGGCCACAUUUGAAGAAGGCACAUCUAGGCGUAGGAGUGCCCCAAGAAAGUACAUCAAUAGGAAUCGUGAAGGAGCUCAUGAACAACUUUUUGCUGAUUAUUUUGCUGAAGAUCCUCUCUACUCUGAUUCAGUGUUCCAUCGAAGGUUCUGGAUGAGAAGGCAUGUGUUUGUACACAUUGUGGAUGAACUAGGUAAGUGGUCUUCCUAUUUUACUCAAAGAGUAGAUUGUACUGGACGCCUUGGGCUCUCACCAUUGCAGAAGUGCACAGCAGCAAUCUGUAUGCUUGCAUAUGGUACUGCUGUUGACACUCUUGAUGAAUACUUGAAGGUUGCCGAGAGCACUGCACUAGAAUGCUUAGAAAACUUUGUGUAAGGUGUGAUAGAAGUAUUCGGUAGUAGGUACCUGUGCCGCCCCACAAUUGAAGAUUUGGAGCGUUUGCUUCAAGUUGGAGAGUCUCGUGGAUUCCCUGGGAUGUUAGGAAGUAUUGACUGUAUGCACUGGCGAUGGAUUGUCCACAAGCAUGGAAGGGACAAUAUACCCGAGGUGACCAAAAGUAUCCAACCAUUAUCCUUAAAGCUGUAGCAUCAUAUGACCUCCAUAUUUGGCAUGCAUUCUUUGGCACUCCUGGGUCCAACAAUGACAUCAACGUCCUCAACCAGUCCCCUUUGUUUAUUAACGCACUAAAAGGUGAAGCUCCCUGAGUCCAAUUUGCUGUUAAUGGGACACAUUACAACACAGGAUAUUAUCUUGCUGAUGGAAUUUAUCCAGAAUGGGCAGCCUUUGUAAAGUCUAUAAGGUCUCCUCAUCUAAAGAAGCACAAGUUGUUUGCAAUGGAACAAGAAGGGAAACGGAAAGAUAUUGAGCGUGCUUUUGGGGUGUUGCAACGUUGCUUCAACAUCGUGUGUCGUCUAGCACGAUCAUGGAGCCAAAAAGUUCUUCGAAAAAUUAUGCAAGCUUGUGUUAUUCUCCAUAACAUGAUAGUGGAAGAUGAGAGAGAAAUGGCUGAAGAUCAAAGGACAUCAGUUCUUCCAUCAGUUCUUCCACCAGAAGUGCAAGCAGGAAGUACCGAUCACCCAUGCUUCAGUGGUGUGCGACGUAGAAAUGCUGCCAUUAGAUCCAAACCAAUCCAUAGCCAACUGAAAAAUGACUUAAUUGAGCAUAUUUGGCAACGGUUUCAAAAUAGGCAAAAUAAUUAGUCACUAUUAUUUCAGUUUGUUUUUGUCAGGAGAUGCAUGCAUUGGUUAUUUUGUGAAACAGUUGUGCGAUGUUCAGGUAUGCUUUUUUUUACUUGCAGUUUGGUUUAUCUCUCAUUGGAUUCUACUAUUGAUUGGCAACUCAUUUUUCUUUCAUUAAUAGCAGUUCAAGGUUGUGGGUUGCUUUCAAACUUUUGGCGGUCUGUUUUGAUGAAUGCAAUUAGAUUUCCUGUCUUUUGUGCCCUGAAUGUAAUACACAUGGCUGUUUUUUUGGGUUUCCCUUCAACACUGUAAAUCAAAUUAACAUGUAUAGCUAUCAUGUUUUGUACGGACAUUAGCAGGUGGAAGAACUAUACCUUAUUUUAUUCCUAAGCUGACAUGUCUAAGCUACUGCUAUGCUGAGAUAAGUUGAGAUGUUUGUUUCUGUGUAUACUUUGUGUACUAGCACACCAAGGGCCAUAUAGAUACAUGUUAUAGUUUAUCAUCGUAUCAUCUGCAGCCAUUAAAAGUAAUAAGAGAUGGUCCAAGAGGUAGUUUAUUGGAGAAACUAUCUUUUAUUGUAUCUCUUAGAUGACAUGUAUGGCUUAAGAGCUAGCAGCUGACUCAAGGAGGAGGCCAUAGCGGGAGCAGCGCCAACAAGCGUGCUUUGCACCUGCACCGGCAGCAAGGGUCGUGGGGGAGCCGAGGCGUUGCUCCUGCGCUGGCAAGAGCAGGGCAACGGGAGGACUUGCGGCGGCGUUGAAGGUUGAACGGCCUAAUGAAGACUAUGCAGAUGGCGUUUGUGAGUUAAUUGACGAAAUCGUGUGUAAUGGCACACAUGGGAUUGCAAAUUUGAAAUAGUGGCACUGAAGGAAGGAAUGGUUAUAAUUUCAAUGACAUGUAAGGGAUAGCAAUAAGUUUUAAUGACGA